CGCCUUGCCAGCCCGCUCAGAAACUUAAAGGAAUUGACGGGGGCCCCGGCACAAGCGGUGGAGUAUGUGGUUUAAUUCGAUGCAACGCGAAGAACCUUACCUGGUCUUGACAUCCCGGAGACCCUUAGGAAACUAGGGGGUGCUUCCAUCUGGAAGAAUCUGGAGACAGGUGCUGCAUGGCUGUCGUCAGCUCGUGUCGUGAGAUGUUGGGUUAAGUCCCGCAACGAGCGCAACCCUUGCCUUUAGUUGCCAGCAGUUCGGCUGGGCACUCUAAAGGGACUGCCGGUGUUAAACCGGAGGAAGGUGGGGAUGACGUCAAGUCCUCAUGGCCUUUAUGACCAGGGCUACACACGUACUACAAUGGCCGAUACAAAGGGCAGCGACACUGCGAGGUGAAGCCAAUCCCGUAAAAUCGGUCUCAGUCCGGAUUGGAGUCUGCAACUCGACUCCAUGAAGUUGGAAUCGCUAGUAAUCGUGGAUCAGCAUGCCACGGUGAAUACGUUCCCGGGCCUU
rnacentral:rRNA from 1 species